CAGAUUUCGGUGGGAAUGCUUGGCAAGUCCUCAGUAUUAUUGUGUGUCUUUUUCAUACUUACUGCGAAGCAUUUAACUCCCCAAGACCUGAUUAUAAAGCAAGUUACUUUUGCCAAUUGCUUGUCUAUCAUCUCAAAUAGCAUUUCACAGACAAGAUUAGGUUUUGUAUUUAAGGAUGAUAUUGGAUAUAAAUUGAUGCUGAAUAACAAGGGGGAUGUCUGUGCAUGCCAUAUGUAUACUGAGUAGCUUCCAAGAAAUCACAGCCCCAGCAACUCCAGGUGAAUGAAGCUUAAGCACAGAGCCACCAAGUACAUUGGUGCCUGUUAGUCACAGAGGUAGCUUGUGCAUUGCUUCUAAACAUCUUGACUCCAGCAAGAGUGUCAGACCCCAGGUAUAACAAAACUGUGACUUAACAGGAUGCAUUAUGGGUACUGCUCAUUGUUUGCUUCUGGUAGUAUAGCAACUGCAUCCAUUAUGUUCUUACUGUCUCUUUCUUAUGGACUGUGUCUGGGACUCAUGUCUUGCUCAAGUAUCUCUAUGGUGCAUAUCUGCUACAGAUGCAAGAGACAAGUAAUGUAUAUCCACAGUACUCAGUACUUUCUGAAAUUCUCCUUUGAGGACAGAGCCACUCAAGUUACCCUCAUCCUGCUGUGCAAAUGUGUUAUCUCUUACUCAUUCUCUUCUACUGUGGUCAUCUUUACAACCUACUCCAAAUAUCCAGUGCUAAGGAAGGUUAAGUGUAUUUAUAUUUCUAGAAAUAUGUUUUCACACAUGUUCUCCCUUUGGUGUCAUUAGUAAUAGGAAGUUGAGUUCCAGCGUGUUUUACCCUGCUGUGGUAAA
rnacentral:lncRNA from 1 species